rnacentral:lncRNA from 1 species
CCCUGUGAACCCGACCAAAUCAUGGUCGUAGGGGAGCAGGUCCUUCACCGAUAGCCCUAAGCUCUUGUAAGCAUCGUAAAACAUAAUGUCAGCGGAACUACCUGUAUCGAUGAGAGUCCUUCGGAUCUUACCGUUGCCGAUCAGGGCUUCAAUGACGAUGGGGUCAUCUUCCUCGCCGGUGUCCUCGCCGUAAUCGUCCUCCGUGAAGGUAAU